rnacentral:tRNA from 1 species
AAGAUGUUAGUAAAUACAUUACACUGCCUUGUCAAGACAGAAUAAUAAAUUAAACCUUUAUACAUCUUA